rnacentral:rRNA from 1 species
AGAGUUUGAUCCUGGCUCAGAGCGAACGCUGGCGGCAGGCUUAACACAUGCAAGUCGAGCGCCCCGCAAGGGGAGCGGCAGACGGGUGAGUAACGCGUGGGAAUCUACCCAUCUCUACGGAACAACUCCGGGAAACUGGAGCUAAUACCGUAUACGUCCUUCGGGAGAAAGAUUUAUCGGAGAUGGAUGAGCCCGCGUUGGAUUAGCUAGUUGGUGGGGUAAUGGCCUACCAAGGCGACGAUCCAUAGCUGGUCUGAGAGGAUGAUCAGCCACACUGGGACUGAGACACGGCCCAGACUCCUACGGGAGGCAGCAGUGGGGAAUAUUGGACAAUGGGCGCAAGCCUGAUCCAGCCAUGCCGCGUGAGUGAUGAAGGCCCUAGGGUUGUAAAGCUCUUUCAACGGUGAAGAUAAUGACGGUAACCGUAGAAGAAGCCC